AACAAUUUAAAAUACAUAACAAAAUAAACUAUAAAUUAGAUAACUUCUCAGCAGUGCUGAAGCUUGAAAAGCGGCAUGGCGGUGCAGCGAGUUUUUAACCAAAUAGGUGCAUUUUUUACAUCAAUAAACCUUACAAUACGAUGCGCCCAAAGUGCUACUGUUGAUUGCAAAAUUUCGGUUGCCCUGCUCCUGUUCACGAUUCCAAAUUCCCUUCCAUGUCGAUUCCCUUUUUCUCGUUUGUUUUACUCGACAGUCUUUCUCCCGGUUCUAUUGCGUCUGGUAGGAAGCUUUUUAUUUUUGUCAGUCCCAGGCUUUCUAUCUGCCAUCGCAGAUUGCUUUUGGAGUUUGUUUGUCUCGUUUCCAAUUUGUUUUGGCUAUAUACCCGUUUCCUUCUUCCUCCUCUUUCGUUCUAUCUCGCUCUCUCGCUCUUCAUUAUUGUUUCUGUUCUGAUUUGUUUUUUUUUUGUUUUCUCUCCAUGGCCGAUAGGUUUGAUUUCUUGUGCGAUGCCGUUCCGGGAAGAACUGCUUGGCGAUUCAAGGUUAGGGUCGCUGGGAUAUGGGAAGUAACUGGUUUGAUUUCCUUUUGUUCAAUUCUGCUUUUUCAUUUAUAGUUGUUCUGACUUUGUACCUAUUGCUUCUUGUUUGGUUGAUUGGCUUGGACUGCAUCAUCAAGGGUUUGAUUUUGUUUGUUUGUUUGUUUGUUUCAUUUCAAGGUUUGAACUUGUUUCUUGUUUUAUUUGCACUGGGUUUUUAUUUUUCAUAAAUUGUGUUUCUGCAAAGUUCCUGGCCACUGCAUUUUUUCCUUUAUUUUCAGGUCCUGUUUUUCCUUGGUUCAAUAUUCAACAUGGUAUUUUUUUUUUUAAUCUGAUUUGAAGUUGAUAUAGUCCAGACCAAUUUUUUUUUUUGAUUGGAUAGUCCUGACCAAUUUGAAGAAAAUGAUGUAAUGUGGUUUUUUGUAUAAAACCUUUUGUUGAUUUUUUCCUGAUUUGGUUGGUUUGUUUCUUAGGCUGAGUAUGUGAACCUUGAUACACUGUGGGUUACUCAUCCUUAAGUGGAUUUUUCACACGAUAUAUUUAAUUUUCGUAUAUGUUUGUGUGCAUAAUGAUCUGUGUUAGUUUUUGUGUAGCUUGGGAUUCAAACACACUUUUACAUGGAUAGGUCGAUUUCCUGUUUCUUGUGUAGCUUGUGACCCUUCUAAUAUUAUUUGAGGUAACUACUAACUUCAAAGGUUUUCAAAAGGAUUUUAUGUUUGUGUCUGCUUUGUAGGUUCUUAUGAGUCAACAUAUUUUCUCAUUUUCUUGUGAAGAAAAGUGUUGUUCUUUGCUUGGGUUGAUCAAGAUCAUAGUUGGAAGUUAACCUUAAUGUGUUAUGCCCACACUAUGCCAGUGUAGUGAUAAAUUUUUGUGUCAUUUUUGGAAUUUGGGCAAGUGAUAGCACGUCUUGUAUUUAAUAUUAACUAGCCAUCACUGCCAUAUGUAGAAAAGUACACUACUGCUAUAUGCAGUAAAAUGUUUGGAACAAAAAUGUGGAUAUAUAUACACAAAUUCAUAAUUCAAUUAAUAUUAAGAAUAAUGUCUCUUACAAACUUUGUGUGUUAUAUUAAGAAUAAGAAUUCUCUUACAAUAUGAUUGCUUGAUUUGGUUGGUUUGUUUCUUAGGCUGAGUAUGUGAACCGAUACACUAUGGGACCGUCUCAAUGAUGUUGUUAACACCUGAAGUGUAUUUAUUUGACAUUAAUGAAUUUGUUUUGCUUAUUGAAAACAUCUAUAUGUUCAUGUUGUACAUUGCUUCUGACCCUGUCACUAAUUGGGGUGUGCAUUUGCAUCCAUAGCUGAAAACGAUGCUCAAACUACCCACAUAUUACUAUGCUCAACAGGAGAAGAACAUGAUUUCAUGCUUGUCUCUUAUCAGGGUGAUGGGAAGUAAAAACCUGUCCUGCCUGUGUCAAAUUUGUAUUGUAUUGCCAAGUUUCUUUUUUUCAAAUGGUUUUAGCUCUUAUCAUUGUUUUAUGUUUUUUUAACUAUAACUCUAAUGAUGCUGAACAAAUACUUAUUUAAUAUAUUAAUGUGUUGUAAGUUGUAACAAUUUAAUUGGUUGUGCCUAAUCAUUAAUUCUUAGGUUCGUAUCCAUCUAAGAAACUUAUAUUUGACUUCACCAAAUCAUAUUUAAAAUAUGAACUAAAAAAGUAUUGUUAUUUAUAUCCAUAUUGAUUUCCUUAUUGAUGGAUUGUGAGGAUUCCUAUUUCUUAGUUUCAUUAGUUUUAUUUUUUAAGAUUGCAAUUUUAUUGCAGUUUAGAGGUGUUCCCGAGGUUUCUUUGCUUUGCUUCCAAGUUUGGUCCUUUUUAUGGAAAGCUGGCUGGUUUGCUUUUCAAGUUGUGUACUUAAAGCUUUUGGUGGCAGAAUUUAUCUUUUCUUACAUUGCAUUUAAGUAUGCAGACAGCUUUGCUUUGUUAUCAAGUAGUGUACCUUAGGCCAAUGUAGAGUAGGAAGACAUUUGAUUCUGGUUGUUGGAUAUUCUACUGGUUUGUGCACAAAUACAGCCAGCGAAUGUAGUUUGAUUUGGUUACUUUUAAUUGAUCUUUUUAGCAUGAUUUUAGCAUAAUUAUUUAGUGCACACAGUGAGUCUUGUUUUUAAUUGAUAUUUUAGUAUGAUUUCUGCCCUAAUAUAUGCCGUAAUUGAUUGUUACUUUUAAUUUCAAGAAUUUAGAUGCAGUAAUUGAUUGUUACUUUUUAUUUCAAGGAGUUUUUAUCAUGAUUGAAAUUGUUAGAAAAUGCUUUCUUUAGGGGGUGUGAGGUAAUAGUUUUUGGUUAAAUCAAAGGGUCAUGCUAACCUCAUGAUAUAGUGUCUAAUGCACUAAUUGAGUUUUUGGUGAUGUGAUGAUAUGAUUAUAUAUGAUUUAAUUUGAAUUGGUAUGCGAAGUGCUAGCAUUGAGAAGCAUACACGAAAGUUUAUUUGAUCCAAAUGGACAUUUGAGCAAUUGGAAUAGUGAUGGAGACCCAUGCCUAUCUAACUGGACAGGAGUUGUGUCUUCUAAUCAAACAAUUGAAGAAAACUUUCUACAUGUUGUAGAAUUGUAUGACUUCUAUCUUCCCCACUUGUAUAAAGUUACACCGAUCAUGAAUCUGCAAUUUUAGAUUAUGCGUUGAGGGGUUACAUAAUCAGUGUUGUGAUGGCAGAGAAAUCUGUACCAAGGGCUCCACAAUCAAAUAACUAUGGGUUUGCAUUACAGAUUGAUACUUGCUUAUGGUGUAGAUUGAGAUUGAAAAUGUGGGUUAUUGUCAUUAUAAUUUAAAAGAGUUCACUAAUUGAAUUUCUAUGCAUAUCUUUUGUUUUUAAUAUUUUAAAUUAGUUUUAUUUAUUUUAUUUUUCUUUGCUUUGCUUCCAAGUUUGGUCCUUUUUAUGGAAAGCUGGCUGGUUUGCUUUUCAGGUUCUGUGCUUAAAGCUUUUGGAGGCAAAAUUUGCCUUUUCUUACAUUGCAUUUAAGUAUGCAGACAGCUUUGACUUGUUUACCUGUUCAAUUUCUUGUUUUUUUGUCUCUUCACUUUAUAUGAGCUUUGACAAUUUAGUUGACAAUCUUUGGUCUUUUGUACAGUGUUUAAAAAUAUUGAAGCUUGAACAUCAAUUCAUUUGAUUCAUGUGAUCAAUCAAUAAAAUGUUUUGUUGAUGCUGAAAUUAAAUGUUUAGUUUUACAAAACAAUUGAAAACUUUUAAUGUGUAAACAUAAUAUUUUUAUUUCUAAUCAAUUAUGUCAUCUUCCUCCAAGGAAUAUGUCAGCUUGGUCUGACUGAAGUAAUCCAGAGUUGCUUAAAACAUUUUUGUAAUAUGUGUUAUCAAAUGUGUUUGUAGUGACAGGUUCUAACGGAGCCAAAUUGGUGUCGGAAUCGGCUUGAUUUGGACAUAUUUUCUGUAAAUUUUGUAGAAGGGAUUAAUCAAGUGAUGGAUCAGAUUUUCCAGAGCUACCAAAAUCAAAGAGCCUGUUCUACAUUCGAAGGGAUUACUGCACAGAGAUAUCAAACCAGAUAAUUUUCUCAUGGGUCUUGGGAAGAAAGCAACUCGGAAAUUUGGCGAUGAUGGAAUGGGAGGCCUUGGCGGAAUGGAAGGAUUGGGAGGAAUGGGAGGACUAGGAGGAAUGGACUUCUCUAAAUUUGCUGGGAUGGGUGGUGAUGCAUUGGAUGAUGUUGACGAAAGUGACAAUGAAGAGAGAACAAAAACUUAACAGGAACAGCGCGUUAUGCAAGUUGCAAUACUCAUAAAGGAAUUGGAAUUGAUCAUGAAGCAGUGGGAGAAGAAUUAUUACAUUACUUCUAUUGCUGGAGUUACUAAUGGGAGCUCUCUUGUGGUGUUGUCAAAAGAUCUAUCUGGAUGUUGUUUGAUCACAUGCUUGAGGGUUUAUCUGUUUUCAUUCUAGAGAGGGAACAAAAGAGAUAAAAACUACAUUGUGAUUUGAGUUCUGAUUUCCACAAGCACACAGUAUACACAACAAUCAUACAAAGUAAGUGAGUCUUUCCCCUUCAAAUGGAUAAACAAGAAGUGGAUAGAAGGUUUUCACGUGACUUCAAUGGCAAUUGCUGGAAGUCGUUGGGGUGUUGUUAUGUCACGGAAUGCGGGAUUCAGUGAUCAGGUUGUUGAACCUGAUUUUCUCUAUCCUAGCGAAGGAAUCCAUAGACGAUGGGAUAAUGGUUAUAGGAUCACAGAAACUGCUGCUACAUGGGAUCAAUAUGCUCUUAUAUUAAGCAAUUGCAUUUUAGCCUUCCUUGGCAGGGUCUGCAAGCUGCCACCAAAAUGCAAAAAAAUGAAAAAUUUUGCAAUAUGAAGUUCUCAACUCGUGCUGAGGUACUUUGCAAGUCAUAUCCCGUGGAGUUUGCGUCUUACUUUCAUUAUUGCCGCUCCUUGUCAUUUGAUCAACGACCAGAUUAUGGAUAUUUGAAGCGCCUGUUUUGAACCUGAUAUCUUUUUUACUAUUGUGUUCAUGGAAUAUCGUGGUAGAAAAGAAUCACGUGGUCCGAAGAGAAAUUAUCGAAGAAAAACUCACAACGCAGAGAGAAAAUGCAACCAUUGUGACGAAACUGCCCCUAUGUAAAAAAUUGAAUUGACGAAACUACCCUAUGUAUGCAUAAACGUUCUCAAAUACAUGUGGGUCAAGUAUAUGUAUAUGCGUAGAAUUACUGUGUUCCAGUAACAUUUCUACAACUUUAGACAAUUUAUUUGCAACGAAAAUUUUACUUCUCAGAUCAA